rnacentral:lncRNA from 1 species
AUGGAGUUAAAAGCAGCAUCCAAACUCCCGCGCCGCUCCGCCGGCGGCGUCCUACCGGGGACCAGCAGCCGACGCCGCCUCCGUGCCGCCGGGGAAGCAGGGUUACUUACGAGCGCCCGCGAAGACACGUGUGUGUGUCCACCCCUCACCACCACCGGCGGGCCUGCGGCGAUCGACACCGUCCGCCGCGCUCCUCGUCCCCGGCUCUCCUCCCACAGCCGUGCGGCGACGAGCGGGGAAGACGGCCGGCCAAUCUGUGGGGUUUGUCUUCCCCACCGAAUACUUUCUCCCCGCACGUCUGCGGCGACCGUAGGAGCGAGUGUGCGCGGAGGGCAGAGGCGACACGGGCUGUCAAAGUUGCUCCGGCUUGUGUCAGUCUGCAACAGCUCUGAUCGGAAACACUUGUUUCACACCUUCCAGCCAGAGUGCGGUCUCGUCAAACCGGGGUCCUGCUUCUUUCACAGCUCCUUUAACAGGCUGUGAUUCACGGCUCCCGGAGUGCUGAUUUUCCCCUCAACAGAUCUAACAGCUGUGUUAACAAGUUGAGGCCCUGUGUGCAAACUGGAGCACAAGGAAGGCUGUUCAGCUCAUGCUGCUUGUCUGGCUGGUAAAGCCUAUUGAUCCAAGCACCUCAUCCAGCUGUGACAUGAAGGAUCCCAAUUAAUCUGAGUUACGAUGGGGAGACAAGGAGUCCACUUGCUAAGUCCUGUUGAAGGUAAGCUGAGAGGUGAGAGCUGGGCAUGCACUGAGCACACAGACAGAGGGAGCUGCGUAGUCCCGCAGGUCUGGAGAACGGGGACCUGCGCAGUCCCGCAGGUCUGGAGAACGGGGACCUGCGCAGUCCCGCAGGUCUGGAGAACGGGGGAGCUGCGCAGUCCCGCGGGUCUGGAGAACGGGGACCUGCGCAGUCCCGCGGGUCUGGAGAACGGGGAGCUGCGCAGUCCCGCAGGUCUAGAGAACGGGGGAGCUGCGCAGUCCCGCAAGUCUAGAGAACGGGGGAGCUGCGCAGUCCCACAGGUCUGGAGAAUGGGGGAGCUGCGGAGUCCCGCAGGUCUGGAGAACGGGGACCUGCGCAGUCCCGCAGGUCUG